UAUUCAUGUAGUUUAUAAAACAUUUUAUUUUCAUUAAAAAAAAAACUUUAAGUUUAUGAAU
rnacentral:tRNA from 1 species